ensembl:lncRNA
AUGGAAAAAGAGAGAGAAGAGGAGGAGGAGAGGAGGUGGGCCAUGAAUAUGCAGGGAAGGAGGAGGAAAGGAAGGGACUGGGAGUCUCCCUUCGCCACCCACAAAGUCAAGGGAAGGAAAGCUCAAAGGGGCAAUUCAUAUCCGCCGGGUCAAUGGGGCAUUAUGCUUGGCACCAGGCCUCUUGCAAAGGGAGAACCGGCGGAUGCAGAAAUACAUGGGACAGAUUUCUAGGGCCUUCAACAUGGGUCAUGGGUCAACUACUGGCAGAAGUUAUCCCUCGAAUUGGAGGACCUUGGAGGAGAAGCACAGUCAAAGCCCUCCCGGCAGAUGGCCAUCCGGACUCUGGUUAAAAGCCUCUAGAGUAGGAGACACCACCAGACUCCACGGCAGUAUUUGAAUCAGAUAUGUAAAUAAUCAAAUCUGCAAAUGUCAAAGCAAAGUGCAAAAUAUAUACUGCUGAGUUUCCCUUAUCUAAAAUGCUUGGAACCAGAAGUGCUUUGGAUUUCAGAUUUGUUCAGAUUUUGGAAUACAGGAGAGUCUCACUUAUCCAACAUAUAAGAGCCAGCAAAAUGUUGGAUAAGCGAAUAUGUUGGAUAAUAAGGGAGGGUUAAGGAAAAACCUAUUCAACAUCAAAUUAGGUUAUAAUUUUACAAAUUAAGCAUCAAAACAUCAUGUUAUACAACAAAUUUGACAAAAAAAGUAGUUCAGUACGCAGUAAUGUUAUGUAGUAAUUACUGUAUUUACGAAUUUAGCACCAAAAUAUCAUGAUGUAUUGAAAACAUUGACUACAAAAAUGCGUUGGAUAAUCCAGAACGUUGGAUAAGUGAGACUCUACUGUACCUGCAUUAUAUCUCAUCCUUGUGACUUCCUAGAUUCGUCCACAAGGUGGCAAUGAAGGAAAGCAAAAAAGAAGCAGUUGUAAAAUGCAUAUUAAAGGACAUGUUCUACCAUUGGACCCAUUUGGGAAGUUACAAUUCUAGGGGAUUUUGGAGUUGCAGUCCAAAAAGGAACUUCUCUGAACUCCAAUAACUUUCCAACUGAGCAUUCCAACUGAGCAUCAACUCAGCGCCGCAUGCAGCUGUUGUUGCGACCUCAAACUGACAUCUCCAAAUAUAGAAGCAGAGUGUCUUUUGGUUUCCUUUUUCGACUUGGCCGAGUCCCAUUUCACACUCUAAACAGGCCUAGACAAACUUGGGUCCUCCAGGUGUUUUGGACUUCACCUCCCACAAUUCCUAACUACUGUACAUAGAACUGGACUAUAUCAGUCUACACUGCCCUAUAAUCCAGAUCAAUGCAGUUAAUCCACAUUCUGAAACUGGAUUGUAGGGCACUGUGGAUCCAUCAUAAGACUCAUAUUGAACUGCAUUAUAUACCAAUGUAAAUGGGACCUAAGUAUUUAACUAGGGGCAGAAUGAUUGCAGUUUGGCCCCACUUUAACUGUCAUGGCUCAAUGCUAUGGAAUUCUGGGAGUUGUAGUUUUAUAGCCUUCUCUGCCAAAGAGUGCUGGUGCCACACCAAACUAUACAUCUCAUGAUUCCAGAUCGCUAAGCCAUGGGGAGCCCCCCCCCCCCGGUGGCACAGCGUGUUAAACCGCUGAGCUGCUGAACUUGCAGACCGAAAUGUCACAGUUUCGAAUCCAGGGAGCGGAGUGAGCUCCCAUUGUUAGCUCCAGCUUCUGCCAACCUAGCAGUUUGAAAACAUGCAAAUGUGAGUAGAUCAAUACGGAAGGUAACUGCGCUCCAUGCAGUCAUGACCUUGGAGGUGUCUACGGACAACGCCGGCUCUUUGGCUUAGAAAUGGAGAUGAGCACCAACCCCCAGAGUCGGACACGACUGGACUUAACGCCAGGGGAAAACGUUUACCUUUACUAAGCCAUGGGGAGGUAAAGUCGUAUCAAAUUGUAUUAAUUCAACAGAUUAAAUGCAACCAUGGAGAGACUGCCAUUCUUGCUUGUGAC